CUUGUACAUUCAGUGUUGUUUCUGUGAUUUCAAAUCCAACAACAUUCGUGGAUUCACAUAUAUAGGUCCCUGCAUCCUCCACUUUAACACUUUUAAUAUGGAUAACUUCAUUAUAACUUUCUAACUCCAGACCCUUCUUCUUUAGGAUGAUCUCAGGUUGUGGAAAUGCUGUUGAUUUGCAGACGAUGCUGAUUGGUUCUCCUUCCUUCACCGAUGAUGAUGGUAGGAUGAUUAGUUGUGUGUUUUUGGGUGGAACUGUUGAGAGAGAGAUCACAAUUUAGAAACUCUUUGGAGGAAUAGAUCAAUGCUACCAGUGGCCAAAAUAUAGAGCCACAGGUAUAGUAGAACUACAACACUGCCAAAGUAUCAAUGGAGUUGUAGUUUUGCAGCCCUGAAACUGAUGAGAGAAAGGACGCAAUAGAAAAUUAGCAUUGUAUGGCUUUAUAGAAUUAGAAAGCACUCAAUAUUGUAAUUUACUUUUUGGAUUUUUGGGAGCCAAUUGUUUACAAAUAUAAACAAUAUAAUGUUAAAAUGUAUAACAUUAUGCAACUCUUUAUUACAAAGAAAUUUAUUCUCAGUUUCGAAUGCACAUUUGUAGCUUUCAUACCUUGUACGAUGAGUGUGUCUUCUGUACUUUCAAUUCCAAUAUGAUUCCUUGAUUCACAUAUAUAGGUUCCUGCAUGCUCUGCUGUAGCACUUUGAAUCCGGUGUUCUCCUUGAGCAAUUUGUAACUCAUGUAGGCCGACAUCAGUCUUCUUCUUUAGGAUGAUCUCAGGUGGUGGAAAUGCUGUUGAAUUGCAGAAGAUGCUGAUUGAUUCUCCUUCCUUCACCGAUGAUGAUGGCAGGAUGAUUAGUUGUGUGUUUGUGGGUGAAACU